GACGUAGGGCGCGAGCGUUUUCCGGAUUUAUUGGGCGUAAAGAGCUCGUAGGCGGCUUGUCGCGUCGAAUGUGAAAUCCUGCGGCUCAACUGCAGGCUUGCAUUCGAUACGGGCAGGCUCGAGUUCGGUAGGGGAGACUGGAAUUCCUGGUGUAGCGGUGAAAUGCGCAGAUAUCAGGAGGAACACCGGUGGCGAAGGCGGGUCUCUGGGCCGAUACUGACGCUGAGGAGCGAAAGCAUGGGGAGCGAACAGG
rnacentral:rRNA from 1 species